CAGAUAACAAAGGGGAGCUUCCGCGAGGAUGGAACUGGGUGGACGUAAUUAAGCAUUUAAGCAAAACUGGUUCUAAAGAUGAUGAAUAAAGGACUUUGGUACAAGGAAACUCCACCUUUUAAUACAGUGCAAUUUUGGGUCACCAUCUGUCUCUUACUGACUUUCAGAUUUGUUGAAGUAAACAUUUUAUAAAGCUCAAUUUCCUAACGGGCAAACCUAGUCACACAAGUUUAUUUAGAGACUGUGUGGUCUUCUUUGGAAAACAAACAAACUUGCCUUAAAUGAAGGUUAGAAUGUGACAAGGGCUGUGGAGAGCCAGUGUGGUGAAGUGAAUAGUGCUACAUGCAGUGUUUCUUAAUUUAUAUUUUACUCUGUAGUAAAAUCCUGUUAUAGUGAACCCAGUGAUACUGUAAACACUUCCUGAUGUUCUUAUUCCAAUUGAAGAAAAAAAAGCACUAUAACAGUGAUUGCUCACUUGACAGCAUAAUUCAUCAAAAUAAAUUAUUCCG